CCCCACUCCUACGGGAGGCAGCAGUGGGGCCGACUCCUACGGGAGGCAGCAGUGGCACUCCUACGGGAGGCAGCAGUGGGACUCCUACGGGAGGCAGCAGUGGGCCCACUCCUACGGGAGGCAGCAGUGGGACAGUUGGCUCAGAACGAACGCUGGCGGCUGGCUCAGAACGAACGCUGGCGGCUGGCUCAGAACGAACGCUGGCGGCUGGCUCAGAACGAACGCUGGCGGCCGGCAGUGGGACUCCUACGGGAGGCAGCAGUGGGACCUUGGCUCAGAACGAACGCUGGCGGCUGGCUCAGACGAACGCUGGCGGCCCACUCCUACGGGAGGCAGCAGUGGGCCCCACUCCUACGGGAGGCAGCAGUGGGCACACUCCUACGGGAGGCAGCAGUGGG
rnacentral:misc_RNA from 1 species